UUUUUUUUUUUUGGCGUGCCACCCCCUCACAUACAGGCUCCUUCAGUCAGCAUCUUAAAUUUAGGAAGCUGACAUCAAUCCAGAGGUACUACGAGUUAGAAUGUUCUUUCAUGUGUAUCAGCAAACUAAUACACCCCUUUAUUUUUUAGUGAAUAAAAGGAAAUUGCUUACUUCCUGUUAUGGUUUACCUUGAAAUGGGCUUCAAUAGCUAUUCCGGUAACCUACCACCAGUUUGAACAAUGAAGAGACAAACACACCGCCUGGCAGUCCCAGGUUCCACAUUUUAUGUAUGUUUUAGUGUACGUUACCCCGCAGCACUACCUCGUGCCUCUGCGACCGCUUUCGGCGGGGAAUCUGGCCGAGUGCUGUGAUGCCUUGUAUACGGUCCCAUAAGAAAAAAAAAGAAAAAAAAAAUUUUAAAUGCUCCUCGUUUUUUGUUAAGGGAAACUCCUAAAAGAGGAAAACAGAUGAGAAGAAGAGUGGAAAAAUACUGGACACUUAAGUGGAAUGUGAACACAGGAACGUGUUGUAGAAGAAACUUCUUAAUAAGCAGAGAACGGCCCAAUGCAUGGGCCUCCUGCAUGUGUCCGAGAAGCAGCACAGAUUAAAACAAAAACAAAAACAAAAACAAAAACAAAACAAGACAAAAAAACAAAAGAGAGAAAGUAGUAGCCCAGAGAAACAGUGAAGUUUUAACAGCUGAGGCGCCUUGCCCCCUGCUAACAGCUGAGGCAGGAAUCCGGGACGAUCGUACACCUCGAAUGGGACACUCUGGCUGUCCUGACUGGGUGUCCCGAGACGCGGGGUUCCACUUGGUCCUCUCGUGUCCCAGGGCUGUCACCGACCCUGGGGCCUGGGGCAGAGUGCUCUUCCUCGACAGUCUCUGUGGUCCUUCUGGGCUUCAGAGAAGGGUAUCUCCACGCUUCCUGCACCUGCCCACUAGGGACUCGGAGCCUCUUGCCCCCGUGCUCCAACCUGGUGAGCGGUGGCAUACGUCGGGGUACCUCCAUGGCAGGACCUGGGCCGCCCCUGGAUUCCUGCCUUGCACUAGCACCCCGGUAUCCUGAAGAGGAGCGACUCUCAAAGAGGAGGUCAUUGCCCUGGCCUCUUCUCCCCGCUCCUCAUUUCUGCAGGCUGCUAGACGUUCCCACAGCUCUCAGGCAGGGGGAGGCGCGGGUUGUGACCAAGGUCUUGGGGUUAUGGUUUAAAGUCCAGUGUUGGCCAACUCGGCUGCUCCUUCACCAACCAUGCCGCCGGCGUCCCUAGGAAUCGAACCCUUUUCCUCCUCCUUCAAUGCACUGAUGACGGGCGCAGACAGGCAGCAAAGGCAGUGGGCACAGCGGGGACGGCCAGCGGAGGGACGGCCCAGACCACCUGGACAGGGUAGGAGCCGUGUGUCUGUGCACAAGCUCACGCUCAAAAUCUGCUCCUCUUUCAUGUUGGGUGGUAAGGUGGGGACAGUUAUACACUGUCACAAUGUAGAAGAGCACAGCCUGUUCCACAGUUAAGUGGUUGAAAUAAUGAAGGAAAGGUGUCCAGGGUGGGGGGUCGGUAAAGCCUGGCAACCCCAGCCUCCCCAUGCCCUGGCACCGCAAGUCCCCAUCCUCCUGCUCAUGUGCUCCCCGAGGACUGGUCACUGUGUUCUUGGCCAAGACAUUUUCAGCAGGACACCCUAUCUUUCUCUGUGUCCUGACCCUGCCUUUACAACCGGGGAGUGUGUGUUUUUAAAAAUAAAAGUCGGAGCGGAGCUUCCCACAGCUACAACCACCGCAGACACCUUCCCUCAGCCCAAACCUCCUUCCCUCCCUCCUUAGCUCGGAGCCCCAGCACACCCAUCAGCAUAUUUAAUAGGAGUUCAACUUCCUGGAAUUUUAAGGGUUGCCAGUCCAACCAUGACAACCGCGACCAAACAUACACCUUGCUGUCCCUCGGCAAUCAGCUGGAAUACUGACCACCCGGCCCUCUCGUGGUAAUAUUUAAACACGCUCGCGUGGCCUUCACAGCAAUCUGAACAACGCUGAGUUGAGGACACAUUUUGUCACAUCCUCCUUCGAGAGAUGAGGGUGGGAAGUCAGCAAGGGACCAUGCCGCUGGCCCAAAGUCACGUCUGUAAGCGGGAACUUCUGAUCUCUCAUCCCAGCCCAGGGCAAGGCCAUCCACCAGGGUGGAGGGUUUCCACUGUGGCUGGAGUGCCACCGUGCAUAGGGACGCAGAGAGAAUGGCCUAGAAGCCAAGAUGGAAGCAAUGGGAGGGAUACUGUGCCAGACAGGGUUUGGCUGUGAUGACAGACCAAUCGGUGAAGUUCAGAGAAGCCCUGGAGAGAAUGUGAGGUGGACACAGCUCAUGAGCAAAGGUUGGUAAUGUCCAACCAAACAUCCAGAGGCCCCGUUUACUUAUCUAUUGCCAACUGUCCCGAAUUUCCACCAGGCACAAGGAGUGUAGGAUGUACAAAGAGGCCCCAAGGGCUUCCCCCAAGGCUCUGCAAGUCAGAUAGGAAAAGGGGACUUAUCCAUAAAUAGCAUGGGGGGUGGGGUGGGAAACAACUGGAAACUCUUUGGGGCACCUGCUGGCUCAGUGGUUGAGCAUCUGCCUUCGGCUCAGGGUGUGAUUCCAGGGUCCUGGGAUUGAGUCCCGCAUCGGGAUCCUUGCAGGGGGAGCCUGCCUCUCCCUCUGCUGUGUCUCUGCCUCUCUCUGUGUGUCUCCCAUGAAUAAGCAGAUAAAUGUUUAAAACAAAAACGAAAGCAAAUGGAAACUCCUGCAGGACAAGAAGGCAUACACAGCUAAGGGUGGACAGGAGAGACUGCUUGCAGCCUGGGUGGAGGAAGGAAGAGAGGAUGAGGGAAGGCUUCCUGGAGAAGGUGCCAUUUCAGCUAGGCCUUGGGAAAAAAAAUACAUAGAAAUAAAUCAAUAAAUAAACAAACAGACAGAUAAAUAACUGGAUGUCUCCCAGACACGUUUGCUUUCGAGUCACGGAGAGUUUCGGGGAGAUACAACCACCCCGACCAGACAGCACCUCUUAAAUAAGUCUUCACCAAGCAUGGCCAGAUCCUGGCCUUGCAGCGCAUCUUUAUCAUGCUGCUGGACUUACAGAAAGACUGGGGUACGGGUCAAAGGUGAAACAUUAGAAAUAAAAAUUAGGCCCCGCUCACAGCCCUGAGAAUAGCUCAGUCUUUUUCAAGUCUUUCUGGCUGUUUCGGGAGAACUGCAAGGCUCAGGAGAUAGUUAAGAUAAGAGUUCUUUUUAUGUCUGUUUGCUGAUUCAGAACAUCUCCUGACCUGAAGGGCUUCUCGCUUUUCUAUGUAGCUUUCUCUAUAAAGGAAUUGAUAAUUCCCCUACAAGAAGUAGCAACAUCUCUCCAAGUAGAACAGAAGCGCUGCUAUUCUUAACGGGGGAGCGGGCAGUGGGUAAGAACGGCAGUGGAGAUAAAGGACAUAAAUCUACCAGAAGUUUCUUUUUUAGAGACCAAGGUUGCCUGGAUAGACGGUGAGACAUGACCAAAGUCCUCCUGCCUCUCCAUCUGAGACAUACAACUUUAAACACUCCGCACCGUGAAAAACCACGCUGGGCCUAGUGUGAAACAUUACAUGAUCCUGGACCCAAGACUCGAGAAAAACCUGGAAAGCAUUUUCCUCCUAGUGCUCUUUCAAAGCUUGACAGACAUGGAAAUUCCUGUGACUUUUUCCCCAUCAUAAAUAAGGUGCAUUGUGUCAUGACAAAAAUGACCUGUCACUGAUUCAGUGGCCUUACUGAUGGAAUACAUUCUUCUUUCCUUCGUGUGCUAAACUGUUCACUUUUAGCUUCCCCACUCGAAGUCAACUAGAUCUUAAAAAGCGGCUGGAUUGGGCACCUGCAUGGCUCAGUGGUUGAGUGUCUGAGUUUGGCUCAGGUUGUGAUCCUGGGGUCCUGGGAUCAAGUCCCGCAGCAUGCUCCCUACAGGGAGCCUGCUUCUCCCUCUGCCUCUCUCUGUAUGUCUCCCAUGAAUAAGUAAAUAAAAUCUUAAAACAAAAACAGGGGCUGGAUUAAAACACGGUGCUCUAUUUGUCAGGCUUCUGUGGGCCCUUCGGUUGUACAGUCAAGGAAGCAAAUUACAACGUUCGUGGCUGCCCUUCCUUUAAAUAACCUGCCCUGGGACUGUCCUUGCCCAGAGUUAAAACCUGGCCAAGGCUCAGGGCGUGGGGGGGUGGGCAGCUCUGUGUGGGAUGAGAGGGAACACAAACACUGCAGCAGCUAAUUCUUGCCCCCACCAUCCCCAGGCGAUGCUCGACAGAAACUUGGCACUUAACAUCAUCACCCUGCAGGGGCGGUGGAUUGCUUUCUCACAAAAAGCCUGCCUAUCAUACAAUCCCAGGACCUCCUCCAGGAGGACACCCGAGGUUUGCACCAAGGAAAAAGUCCCUGGAGGAGGGUGGUUACGAGAAAACCCCAAGUAUCAGAAGAAGGCCCUCAACAAAAGAGUACUACGACGGAGCAUCCUUCUAACGCAGGACCCACGUCCAUUGGUAGUUAUAAAGGUUAUCAUGGAUUACUACCUUUUCCAACAUUUAGUUGAACCUAAAUUGCUAGGUAAUUGGUCAAAACCAAACCACAGCAACGAAACCAACAAAAGCUAGUUUCAGGGCAUGCCACCCUGACCUGUAACGUCUUGCGUACGUUUACACACACAACCAUCUCUCCUAGGUUCUAUUAGGCCCCUUUGCAGAACAACCUCAUUUGGGAUGCUGAUAAGAACGAUGAUAGCCACUUUCUUCUCUAUCUGCUAAGAUAAUGGUAUUUAUAUACUAAACAUAUAAGAGUCUGAAAUAUAUAUUUUUAAAACUCUUCUGGCUGAGAUGCAAUGACCCAGCAGCAGAAUGCAACCCUUACUUGCCAAAUGAGCCCCAGGUAUAUGACAGCCGGGUUUUGACAUGCCCCCACUUGCCCUGACUUUCACAGUAGCAACAAAAGUUCAAGAAGGAACCCUUCACCUUCACUGCAAUUAAAACGGAUCAUGGCCAUUUACAGAUGAGCGUGCCAUUUAAAAAAAACCACCACCAUAGUUCAUUGGAGUUCUUCAAGUUUCGAGAUCUUCAUCUACAAAACAGGCAAAAUAGUCUCAGGCUACAACUGCAAUUCUGAUACGAAUCAAGUAAAAUAUUACCUCUGAAGACACCUUAUGAGUUAUGGUGUAAAAAUGUACAUUAUCUCCAGGAUCCUUUCAACGGCUUCAAUACCUACCCUGGACUUGAGACCACGGAUUAAUCUAGAAUGUUUUUGCUCAUGGAUUCCCUUGAUCAAAACUUCUGACACAAGCCUCCAAUACACACUAGAUAAAAUAUUCAUGCAUUAGCCUGGACAUCAAGUCUUUCUAUCAUCUCCAAUGUCAUCUUCCACCAAUUCUCCCCAACUGGAACCUCCCUGAAUAGUCAGGUCAAGUGCCUUCUCGUGGAUUUUUCCGAUCAGUCUCUGUGAUCUCUGGAAUUUCUUCUGAUGAUCUGCACCCCAACACUCACACCCCUGCCCUCCUCUGGCUGCAAGGCCACCCCAUGGGCCCGUGACAGCUCACCCUGACCUCUUCCUGCAUUACAAGGCCUGUGCAGUUUACCACAGAUGCUUAGGUACGUUCUUUAAAACACAAAUUCUCAAUUGUAGAUUGUUUAUUUAUCUUAUUUUUUUUAGAUUUUAUUUAUUUAUUUGAGAGAGAGAGAGAAAGAGAGAGAGAGAGAGAAAGCACUAGCAGAGAUAGGGGGAGGAGCAGAAGGAGAAGAAGCAGACUCCCAGCUGAGCAGGGAGUCCAAUAUGGGAUUCGAUUCCAGGACCCUGGGAUCAUGACCUGAGCCAAAGGCAGACAUUUAACCUAAUGAGUUACUCAGGUGCCCUGUAGAUUGUUUAUUUUUUAGAGUUACAGCAUUUUAGCACACACAUGAAUACAGCACAGCAGUAAAGUACAGAAGAGGUGCAGAUACUGCAAAGGUAAACAUACGCCCACUUCAAAAGCACUGGGGGAAGGUGGGAGAGGGCUUUCCUCCUAUACAUGCAAUUUCCACAUCAAUGACUCAUCUUCCAGUGGGAUGGUGACAACUGGAACACACAAAUCAAGUAGGUGAAGAAAUACAUAAUCACCCUAAACAAGGAAAACACAAACAAAAACUGAUAAGACAAUUUCCCUUGGACCACUGUCAACCUAUAAAACAAUAUAUGUGGUCAGAGAUUUGUUUUCUAUUAUUAAGUGAUUUAAAUUUCCAAAUACUGAAUUUGGUUUCGAAAGAAGGGGAGGAGGGCGGAGUUAGAAUUAUAUUUAUAUUUAGUGGCUUUUUCAAACUUAUUUCAGCCUUCUAUAGGUUCUACUGGACAAUUCACAAAAGGGUCACCCCACAUUUAAAUUCGAUGUUUCUAAACAGUUUCAAGAACAUUAGUGCUCGCAGAGCCAUAGAUAGAUAAUGUCCUGGUGUAAAAAGCGACGCUUAAGUUGAUGCUUACGCACCCAAAAAUACGACGGAAUACUGCGAUUUUUAAAGGUUUUACAUGAUACAGGCAUAAAGCCUCAUUACAACUGUCUGAAUGUUCUGCAAGUCUUACAUAAUGAAGAAACCAUCACAAUUCAUAGUUAUAGUUAUAUAAUAAUGUUAUAAAUCUGGAAGUCCAGAAGGGCACCAUUUAUGUCAAUAUUUCAGUCAAAAAUUCUGUCGACUGGGCGCCUGGGUGGCUCAGUCGGUGAAGUGUCCGCCUUCAGCUCAGGUCAUGAUCUCAGGAUCCUGGAAUCGAGCCUUAUGUCCUGUUCAGUGCUCAACACAAAGUCUGUUUCUCUGUCUCCCUCCGCCCCUCCCCCUGCUCGUCCUCUCUGUUUCAAAGAAAUAAAUAAAAUCUCAAAAACAAAUUCCGUAGUCCAUAUCUAAACCAUCACUCCAAAAGAGUGAAUUAAUGAGUUAUUCACUCAUAAUUAAGACUAAACGGUGCUUAUACCCAACAUCCGAAAAGACCCAGCUAUCUGGCUCCUGAAUUUCAUCAGCUCCAUUCUAUAUUUUGCUAAGGUAUAAUUAUUCUAGCAUCUUUGAGUGUAUCUUUAAUGCCUGUAUUACUUAAAAUCUUUAAUGUACCCUCAAUACUGUCAAUGAAAAGUACCAUAUUAACAUGAGAGAAAAAGAAGGGAUAAUAAACCGUAAUAAGGUCAUAAAAGUUUUCCAAACCGACGUUGCAAGAUCCCAUUUAACUUGCUGGUAAAUAACCUCAAAAUAAACAUGCUGUCUUCCACAACGAUUCUGGCAGAACUAAGUUUUAGACUUCUGUAUUCUCUGGCAAAGAAAGAGAAAGUCAUGACUUUCUAUGUACAAAAAAGAAACGUCUCAGGCCUUCCUAAACACUCUACUAAAUAGCUUCACCACCUUCCAUAUCUUCUGCUCCCAACCACUUACGGAAUGACCCAGGACUUUUUCAACUGGCUAAAGAUUAAAGUUCCAUAAUGCAAAGUCUUCCAAAGAUGACAGAGAAUUCAGCAUCCUCUGUUGGUCGAAAACAAUCCACCAGAACACAUUUAGGGACAAGGAGUGAUUCAGAAGAUAAUUCUUUCACAUAAAAAAGUGACAAGAGAAAAAAAUCAGAAAAGUAGCUCCCAAAUAUGGCUUUCACAUUAGGGAAAUUUUCUCAUCUGUUCACCAGAAAUACUGCUGGGGAGAAAAGUGACUCAUUUAUAGGGAGUUCUCCAAGUCCACUCAUGUUAAGCAACAAAUUGUCCAUGGCUCCCCUUAAAAUCAUCUUGACCACAAAUAAUGGGAAUCAAAACUUGUGCUGGUUGGAAUCAGGUCCUAUCAACACUCCCUCAAUACGCUAGUGCUGGCAAACACUGCCUAGCAUUAUAUUUGUGAUAAUUCAGUUGUCCUCAUGGCAGCAUGUCAAGAUGUCACAAAUCGUGAUUUAUUAUUUCUCUAGAGUAUCAAAAAGCUGCUGACCUAGGGGAGUUUGACAAACAAAGGCCUUGUUUACAAAGCAAGACUUCUAAAGGGGGGGGGGGGAAGCCAUGAAAAUACUGAAGGACACCACCACUUUUAAAAUUUAUGAAAGUUUUCUCUUUUAUGGUCUUGCUCCAAUACAUAAUAAGCCUUUAAAAUGAAAUGUCAAAAUAUUAUGGUAAUAUCAGGGGUAUCACAAUGGUCUCCUAGAGAGAACAGAAUAUGCUUUUAUAUCAGUCUGUAAAUGUCUUCUUAAUCAAAGUCAAAAAGUUCAAAAAAAUUAUAUGCCAAAGUGUUACUUUCCAGCUAGCUAUACUGUCAGAAAUAUCUUAAACAGAAUUCAAGCAUUGGCGAUAAAAUACAAGCAGGGGCAUUUUUUUUUUUUUUUUGUCAAUUCCAAGCCUCAGGUGUUGGUCAAAGCACUUUUCAAGAAAGUUGACGUGAAAUGCUCAAAAACCACUUUAAAACGGAACAAAAGAAAAGAUCUAAAGCUGCUUUGAACAUACUCUUGUGGUGAAUAUUUUCUUAAGACGCCACAGUGCAGCCAGUCCUCAGUCCCGGAGCUAGGAUGUCACUGCUGUCACUCAUAAGAGAGAGGCUGCAUGGAAGGUAGCGCUCCCUCACCUCUGACCAUCCUUCAAGGCUUCUGAUACCCCAAACUCCUAAUUUAUUUUUACAAUGCUCUUUACCUACAAGGCGCCUCUUCUUAAGGCCUCCAACCAGGUUAAUGGACCUGGGUCUCCAGGCUUGGAUUUUUUUCCUUAGUCCACUGCAAUAAAUAUCUUUGGUACCUAACAGGUAUCUGCAAAUCCCUUCUUUCAGUAGCAAACAUUUGAGUCGUCAGGGAGCUUUAAAAAAAAGAAAAAAAAAAAAAAA
rnacentral:lncRNA from 1 species